UACCUCUAUUGUUGGACCCACCCUGGGUUGACAGUACCCUAGAGCACACCAGAUUUGCAGAAAAAGCAUGCUCCAGAGGAAGCUGAGGCAUGCCUGCUUGAGAGCCAAUGGCUCCAUGUGCAAUUUUCCUCUGAUAGGUCCUAGGUACGGUUGCCAUGGUAAUAACGGCUGUGCCGUGUCAUUAUCGAUCCACCAAUAGUCAGAGAAGCUUUGCAGUCAGGAUAUUGUUUAGCAGACAGAGUGGUUUCUGAUGGACACUAAUUACUGCUACAAAA
ensembl:scaRNA small Cajal body-specific RNA 13